CAUGCAUUGAAUCACAUCACUCUAUCCUUUGCUCUUCAUUACUGUAUCCAACAAACAACACUAUUUCAUUUAUUGUUUUUUUUCUUCAAAUUACUCUUAUCUCUUACUAACAUAACAUCACCAUGUUUUGUUUCUUUCAAGACAGUAUUGUCACCAUUUAAAAAAAAACAAAAUCUAUUUUUAUCAUAUCAUCACCUUCAUCAUAUUUUUUGCGAAAAAAACAAAAGUGCAAAACAGAAAAGAAAGAAAAUGAGACUCGGAGGGCGCCCAGAGAGGAAAGUCGCGACGGUGUUUCGGAUGAGCUCGCGUUGA